rnacentral:misc_RNA from 1 species
CGUAUUUAUACAACUAGUCGCGGGGACGGAGGGUGGGCACGUGAGCUUAUGCACGUGCUUGACCACUCUGACAUACAUUAAAAGGAAAAAAAAUAUAAAUAAUAUCUGUUGCUACUUGCUAGAGAAAUGUAUUGGGCAGGGCCGCGUGGAGAGUGAACUGGGCUUCCUUGCCAGUCGAGCUCUUCGACGCGAGCUUCUUCCUUCGUACCGCACUUACAAGCGUCGGGAUUUGAAGUCUUGAACACAAGGUUUUGUGGAUAUAUGUUUAGGAAUGUCCUUCUUGUGCUGUAAGGUUGUUUCGGUUUCACAUGGCACUGUCACUAUCAGCUGUGCAGUGUAGUAGUGGGAAACAAUUGAGAAGUCGAAUUUUCUUCAAAUUUGGAAGAGGACGUCGAAAUGCUUUGAGUUGUAGAAUGAGGUUCACUAAUUUCCUCUUGAACAUAUCAAGACUGUGUUCUCGAUCCAAGCAUAAGUUUUCAGAAAAGCUGCUGGAUGAAGUAAAUAAGUAUAAUGUUCCAAGCAUAUCUGAUCAAUCAAAGUUUCUUAGUAAGGUAUCUGUGCUGAUGGAGUAUGAUGGUUUUAAUGAGUUAAUUGAGAAUGAAAAAGCAGAAAAGCAAUCUGUUUCAGAUGUCAAUGAUGCUGUAGAUGAUUUUGAUGUCUCCUUGACACGUAAAAGAUUUCCUUCUAUUGUUUUGGGUAAUUCUCCUCCUGUAGAAUUAUAUGAUGAGACUACACAGCACUUUGAAAUGAAGAGCCCUAUACCAGCUGAAAGUUAUAAAGAAUUUCCCUCAGAUGCUGUGGGUGAGAAAUGGGUUGAUCUAGAUGACCUUUCUGAGCCUUGGCCAUCUUCAGGCACCCUUCCAACUGAGAACUGUUCCAUAUCAAAAGAACAAGGCAAUGGUAAUGCAAGCAUGAUUAGUGAAUCCAGAGAUGAAAAAACACAUAUCUUAAAAGAAUUAAAAGAGGAAAAUGCAUACGGUUUGCCAUUAUAUUCUGAGGACAUGACUUUGGAAACACAAGAAAAAUUGGAUUAUAAAGUAAGCAUGGAGGAAUAUUCUAACAAAGUGGUGCCUGAAUCGCAGCUAAGUGCUACAUAUCUUGAUACAUCUAUCAGUUGCAUUCCUGGAUUAAGUAAGAGACAAUGCCAUCAGCUAGAAAAUUGUGGUUUUCACACGUUACGGAAACUGCUGAAUCAUUUCCCUCGAACCUAUGCUGAUUUGCAAAAUGCACAAGUUGGAAUUGAUGAUGGCCAGUACUUGAUUUCUGUUGGGAGAAUUUUAUCUUCUAGGGGAGUUAGAGCUAGUUAUUCUUUUUCAUUUCUUGAGGUGGUUGUGAGUUGUGAGGUUGCGGGUGAUGAAUCUAAGCGUUCCAUUGAGGACAUUGAUAGUGCAGGAAAGAAAACCAUUUAUUUGCAUCUCAAGCAAUUUUUCCGCGGCACUCGUUUCACUAGUCAACCUUUUCUCAAAAUUCUUCAAAACAAGCAUAAACCAGGAGACAUUGUUUGCGUUAGUGGUAAGGUUAAGAGCAUGAGUACCAACGAUCACUAUGAAAUGAGGGAAUAUAAUAUUGAUGUGCUAAAAGAUGAUGAAGAUUCAUCUCUUUGUCCUGAAGGGAGGCCAUAUCCUAUAUACCCUUCAAAAGGAGGCUUAAAGCCUAAUUUUCUUAGGAACACUAUUGCAAGAGCUGUACAAGCCUUGGCUCUCAUUGUCGAUCCUAUUCCAAAAGAAAUCACUCAGGAAUUUGGGCUCUUUCAUCUUCAUGAUGCUUAUGUUGGAAUUCACCAACCAAAGAAUGCUGAGGAGGCUGAUUUAGCUCGUAGAAGACUUAUAUUUGAUGAGUUCUUUUACCUACAGUUGGGACGCUUAUUCCAAAUGCUUGAAGGUCUUGGUACACAAAUGGAGAAAGACAGAUUACUUGACAAGUACAGAAAACCUGAAUUAAAUGCCAUUUGUAUGGAAAAUUGGUCCAGUCUCACGAAGAAACUCUUGAAGGCUCUUCCAUAUUCCCUUACUUCUAGUCAGCUAAGUGCUGUUUCAGAGAUUAUAUGGGAUCUAAAACGACCUGUUCCUAUGAAUCGACUUUUGCAGGGUGAUGUUGGAUGUGGGAAAACAGUGGUUGCUUUUUUGGCAUGUAUGGAAGUUGUUGGCUCUGGUUAUCAGGCUGCUUUCAUGGUUCCAACUGAAUUGCUUGCGGUGCAACAUUAUGAGCACUUGCUUAAUUUGCUAGAGGCAAUGGAGGAUGACCAAUCCAAACCUUCAAUUGCUCUACUAACAGGUUCAACACCAUUAAAACAGUCACGGAUGAUUCGUAAGGAUCUCCAAGCGGGAGAAAUUUCCUUGGUCAUUGGAACCCACAGUUUAAUAUCUGAAAAUGUAGAAUUCUCUGCUUUGCGUAUAGCUGUGGUGGAUGAGCAACAUCGCUUUGGUGUGAUCCAGAGAGGAAGGUUUAAUAGUAAGUUAUAUUAUAGCUCUUUAAGUUCAAGAAUAGCAGCAACCAGUUCUGAUGGGUCCUCAAAGAGCGAUGGCUAUAUGGCCCCACACGUUCUUGCUAUGUCAGCCACUCCCAUCCCAAGGACACUUGCUUUGGCCUUGUAUGGGGACAUGUUCCUAACACAAAUAACUGACUUGCCUCCUGGAAGAAUUCCAGUUGAAACAUGCAUUAUUAUAGGAAAUAGCCAGGGCUUUGAGGAUGCCUACAAGAUGAUGCUAGAUGAAUUAGAAGCAGGGGGAAGAGUGUAUCUUGUUUAUCCAGUCAUUGAACAAUCUGAGCAACUGCCUCAGCUUCGUGCUGCUUCUGCUGAUCUAGAAGCUAUAUCAGAGAGGUUUCAAGGUUACAACUGUGGGUUGUUACAUGGUAGAAUGAAGAGUGAUGAAAAAGAUGAAGCACUAAGACGAUUUAGAUCUGGGGAAACUCACAUACUCCUUUCCACUCAAGUAAUUGAGGUUGGUGUUGAUGUUCCAGAUGCCACCAUGAUGGUUGUUAUGAAUGCUGAGAGAUUUGGAAUGGCUCAAUUGCACCAACUCAGAGGACGAGUUGGACGUGGAGCGAGGAAGUCGAAAUGUGUAUUGCUAGCAUCAACAAUCAGUAGCCUUAACCGAUUAAAGGUGCUGGAGAAGUCAUCAGAUGGUUUCUACUUGGCAAAUGCUGAUCUUCUUUUACGUGGACCUGGUGAUUUGCUUGGUAAAAAGCAAUCCGGACACCUUCCAGAGUUUCCUGUUGCAAGGUUGGAGAUAGAUGGGAAUAUUUUGCAAGAAGCACAUGCUGCUGCUCUGAAAGUUCUAGGUGAUUCUCAUGAUUUGGAGCGAUUUCCAGCAUUGAAGGCAGAGCUUAGCAUGAGGCAACCACUUUGUCUUCUCGGAGAUUGAGAUAGAGCUAUGAAUCCUGAAUUCAUGUGCAAGACAAUGCCUGCUGUUGCAUAAAGGGAUAAUCAGGCUUUUGCAAUCCCCCUAAAAUCUUGGUCAAUUUUGUAUACUCUCUUUUGGUGGAAAAAACUGAUGAUUUUAAUUUAGGCAAUUAUAUUUCAUUACUUCCAUGUAAAUGUUAUGGUGAUAGUUUCUAGUCCCUCCUUGUAUUUCUAAUAGGAAACUACCUUAGUUUCAGUUCAACAACUACAGCAGUAAUGGUUUCACAUGAGCUGCUUUUAGAUUUAUAAUUUGGUUCGAAUAUGACUAUGCUUUGUGACACGAGCAUAGUUGUAUUUGUUGGAAAUCUAAGUCUUAUGUCGAGUAAAUAAGAAUGAAAUGAUAAAUAUACGUGGUUAGGUUGUAACAUUAAAUUUAUUAAUUAUUUUGAUAUAAAAGCAA